CCACUGCAUCCCAAAACCAGUCCAACCUGUCUCUGCCUCCCUAACCUGUUCUUCCUCUCAGCCAUCCCUUCCUCCCACCCCAAGCCGCACCCCCAUCUACCGACUAACCUCAUCCCACCUCCUUGACCUGUCCGUCUUCCCUGGACUUACCUUUUCUCUCCUCUCCACCUUCGGUCCGCCUCCCCCUCUCUCCCUAUUUAUUCCAGUUCCCUCUCCCCGUCCCCCUCUCUGAUGAAGGGUCUAGGCCCGAAACGUCAGCUUUUGUGCUCCUGAGAUGCUGCUUGGCCUGCUGUGCUCAUCCAGCCUCACAUUUUAUUAUUUUAGGAGAGAGAGCUGUUUUGGUUUGUGAUACAAGAGACGAGGCUGUCUAUGCCUUUCACCCAUCGGUAGCUCUCCUCCUGUCCCUGCCUCUAUGCACACACUCUGCCAGGCAUAGUCUUCCUCCCUCUGUGUGUGUGUGUGUGUGUCUCUCUCUCGCUUCAGCUCCUAAAACCUAAGAUGCAUCGGAUAUAAAAACACGCACAUAAACACACACACAUCAACAAGCCAUGGAGAAAGAUCAGGAAUUACUGCAAGCUGUCAAAACCGAAGAUGUAGCUGCAAUGCAGAAGCUGUUGCAAAGGCCGAAACAAGGCAAAGCGAGACACAAUCAUCGCCUUGGAAGCUUCAUCACGAUACUACUUUGCAUUUCUGAAGAGGGAAGAAGAAAUCAACAUGAAAAUUCAAUUCCAUGGUUUUGGAAGUCCCAUUGAGAACACGAUUCAUUUGCGCCGGCAUAAUGCUCUGACCGAGAAAGAAUUGAAGUUUCCACUUGGAAGAAAGAUUCACAUCAAAUUGACUGGUCAAGGAAAUGGGACACUGACUAACCAUAUGAUUCGACUGUUUUGAUGAGAAAUUUAAAGAUUACGUGUCCCAUCCGUUUGACUCACAGUUUGGUACCAUAGGUUGGUACGAUCUUCGUUGGAGAAGGAAAAGGGAUGUUCCAGAUACAGAAAACCGUCAAACCAUUUACAACAAAGUCCG